rnacentral:rRNA from 1 species
UACCAGCACCCCGAGUGGUCGGGACGAUUAUUGGGCCUAAAGCAUCCGUAGCCGGUUCUGCAAGUCCUCCGUUAAAUCCAGCUGCUCAACAGAUGGGCCGCGGAGGAUACUACAGAGCUAGGAGGCAGGAGAGGCAAGCGGUACUCAGUGGGUAGGGGUAAAAUCCGUUGAUCCAUUGAAGACCACCAGUGGCGAAGGCGGCUUGCCAGAAUGCGCUCGACGGUGGGGGAUGAAAGCUGGGGGAGCAAACCGG